UUGACCUCGGAUCAGGUAGGAAUACCCGCUGAACUUAAGCAUAUCAAUAAGCGGAGGAAAAGAAACCAACAGGGAUUACCCUAGUAACGGCGAGUGAAGCGGUAACAGCUCAAAUUUGAAAUCUGACCUUCACGGGUCCGAGUUGUAAUUUGUAGAGGAUGUUUCGGAUAAGGCUUUGGUUUAAGUUUCUUGGAACAGAACGUCAUAGAGGGUGAGAGUCCCGUCUAGAACCGAUAGCCGCGUUCAUGUGAAACUCCUUCGACGAGUCGAGUUGUUUGGGAAUGCAGCUCAAAAUGGGUGGUAAAUUUCAUCUAAAGCUAAAUAUUGGCCAGAGACCGAUAGCGCACAAGUAGAGUGAUCGAAAGAUGAAAAGCACUUUGAAAAGAGAGUUAAACAGUAUGUGAAAUUGUUGAAAGGGAAGCGCUUGCAACCAGACUUGUGUUUAACGGUUCCCCUGUGUCUUUUGACCAGGCUAUUCCGUUAUAUCCAGGCCAGCAUCGGUUCGGGUGGUUGGUUAAAGGCCUUGGGAAUGUAUCUACCUUCG
rnacentral:rRNA from 3 species